GGGGGGUGGAAAGGCACCCAAAAGCUUUUGGUUGAGGCUUGACUGGCUGGUGCGGAGGGGGGCAGUUGACUCGCUGGGUGUGCCUGCGCAGUACGCCAGCCAGGGAAAGCAAGCUCAGAAGAACCGGCGCAACUACAAUAGAGUCCACGGGGAUCAUCAACUAAACAAAGCAAUCGUCCCAGUAGAGGCUUUGUUCUUCACGCACCUUCCUACAGCGGCUGGAUCCCUUGUGAAGGCUGGCGCUCCCCUAGACACACUUAAGGGCGAUCGGGAGGACCGAGACCGCCGCAGAACGAGCGAGCGACACGCCGGGAGCUCUCGCUGCAUGGACAACGGAAGCAACUAAAUAAAAGGAUUAUCAAAGGAUUAUCAACCGGACCUGCUGUGUCCUGCCUGUUCCGUUACCCCCCAAGAACGUACACCGUGACAAUGCUGUUUACCGUGUUACCUUUUUUAGCUGCCCAACAUUAGUUUAGGAGGGUGAAACAACCGGUUUCAGCUACUCUAAGCCUAGGUUAUAUUGUCUAGACUAGAGGCUGUCGCACAGAAUGUAAAGACAUAGAGGAGCAAUGUCUGCCUAAGCAGGGCGUAUAUUUGUGACAUAAUAUCAGACAUGGAAUCAUUAAGAAAGACAUCACUUGGCAAUGAGUUAAACCACAAAGCCACAAUGUGUUUGCACCAAGUGACCCAAAUGACACACUCCAGAGGUCACGUAAAGCCCUCAUGCGGAAUGGACCUACUCUGAAUAGCUUGAUUAGCUGGUACUGUGGCCCUUCAACACGGCAGACAGGGAGGGGGUUAACGGCCCCCCCAUCCCCCCAGGGCCCUACCAACCUCAAACAAACUCAGAGUGAGCUCAUAGUCCCUCAGCAACAGUUGAGCGGAACUACAGAAACAUCCCUGCUGGUAAAAUCAGCUGUUGAGUGUCGAUCCAGAUUCAGAGGAACAUUACAAAUGGGAUUUCAUUCAAGAUCUCCAUGUGGGAUUCCUCAGGGAGCCUUUCAAUGUCUGAAUGAGAGCAGGUAAGAGUUCAUGACAGAACUGUAACACUAUUCCAAACCAAAAGCACAUGCUUACUGUUCGGGCGUCUUGUGUGUAAGACGUGCACGCCGUGUGAACCGUUUUUGUCCCAGGAAGCCGCUGCCGUAUUCUCUAAAAGGGAUCGGACAUGAUGUUCUCCAUCAGCAGCAGGCCUAUAGCAGUUUACCUAAGGGCUGGUCCAGGCCCACAGAGGCUAGUACAGGUAACAUGGGCCCUUUUAUUAGUUCUUGUUAAUAGUCGAGCUGAAGCAUCCUGGAUAAACUAGAAAGACUUAAGACUUAUUAGAGCAGCUUGAUAUUAAAGCAUUGCAGUAAUCUACUGUGACAAAUGCAUGAACUAUUUUUUCUGCAUCACUUCGAGACAGAAAGGGCCUAAUUCUCG
ensembl:lncRNA